rnacentral:rRNA from 1 species
GCGGCAGACGGGUGAGUAAUGCAUGGGAAUCUACCCAGCUCUACGGAAUAACUCAGGGAAACUUGAACUAAUACCGUAUGCGCCCUUCGGGGGAAAGAUUUAUCGGAGUUGGAUGAGCCCAUGUCUGAUUAGCUAGUUGGUGGGGUAAAGGCCUACCAAGGCGACGAUCAGUAGCUGGUCUGAGAGGAUGAUCAGCCACACUGGGACUGAGACACGGCCCAGACUCCUACGGGAGGCAGCAGUGGGGAAUAUUGGACAAUGGGCGAAAGCCUGAUCCAGCCAUGCCGCGUGAGUGAUGAAGGCCCUAGGGUUGUAAAGCUCUUUCACCGGUGAAGAUAAUGACGGUAACCGGAGAAGAAGCCCCGGCUAACUUCGUGCCAGCAGCCGCGGUAAUACGAAGGGGGCUAGCGUUGUUCGGAAUUACUGGGCGUAAAGCGCGCGUAGGCGGAUCGGUCAGUUAGGGGUGAAAUCCCGGGGCUCAACCCCGGAACUGCCUCUAAUACUGCCGAUCUAGAGUUCGAGAGAGGUGAGUGGAAUUCCGAGUGUAGAGGUGAAAUUCGUAGAUAUUCGGAGGAACACCAGUGGCGAAGGCGGCUCACUG